rnacentral:rRNA from 1 species
UACGUAGGGUGCAAGCGUUAAUCGGAAUUACUGGACGUAAAGCGUGCGCAGGCGGUUAUGUAAGACAGGUGUGAAAUCCCCGGGCUUAACCUGGGAACUGCAUUUGUGACUGGCAAGCUAGAGUAUGGCAGAGGGGGGGUAGAAUUCCACGUGUAGCAGUGAAAUGCGUAGAGAUGUGGAGGAAUACCGAUGGCGAAGGCAGCCCCCUGGGCCCAAUACUGACGCUCAUGCACGAAAGCGUGGGGAGCAAACG